rnacentral:rRNA from 1 species
GAUGAACGCUGGAUGUGUGCCUAAUACAUGCAUGUCGAACGAAGCACUUGUGCUUAGUGGCAAAUGGGUGAGUAACACGUACUUAAUCUACCCUUUAGAUUGGGACAACUGUUGGAAACGACAGCUAAUACCAAAUAUUCUUUAUUUACACAAGUAAAUUUAGUGAAAGGAGCGCUUGCUCCACUAAUGGAUGAGAGUGCGUCAUAUUAGUUAGUUGGUAAGGUAAAAGCUUACCAAGACGAUGAUAUGUAGCGGGGCCGAGAGGCUGAACCGCCACACUGGGACUGAGAUACGGGCCCAGACUCCUACGGGGAGGCAGCAGUAGGGAAUAUUUCACAAUGAGCGAAAGCUUGAUGAAGCGACACAUCGUGCAGGAAGACGGCCUUAGGGUUGUAAACUGCUGUUGUAAGGGAAGAACAACACUAGGAGGAAAUGCCUAGUGCCUGACGGUACCUUAUCAGAAAGCACCGGCAAA